rnacentral:rRNA from 1 species
UACGUAGGGUGCGAGCGUUAAUCGGAAUUACUGGGCGUAAAGCGUGCGCAGGCGGUCUGUUAAGACCGAUGUGAAAUCCCCGGGCUUAACCUGGGAACUGCAUUGGUGACUGGCAGGCUUUGAGUGUGGCAGAGGGGGGUAGAAUUCCACGUGUAGCAGUGAAAUGCGUAGAGAUGUGGAGGAACACCGAUGGCGAAGGCAGCCCCCUGGGUUAACACUGACGCUCAGGCACGAAAGCGUGGGGAGCAAACAGG